rnacentral:rRNA from 1 species
CGGAGGGUGCAAGCGUUAUCCGGAUUCACUGGGUUUAAAGGGUGUGUAGGCGGGCUGUUAAGUCAGUGGUGAAAUCUCCGGGCUCAACCCGGAAACUGCCAUUGAUACUAAUAGUCUUGAAUUCUGUUGAGGUGGGCGGAAUAUGUCAUGUAGCGGUGAAAUGCUUAGAUAUGACAUAGAACACCGAUUGCGAAGGCAGCUCACUAAGCAGAUAUUGACGCUGAGGCACGAAAGCGUGGGGAUCAAACAGGAUUAGAUACCCUGGUAGUCCACGCCCUAAACGAUGAUUACUCGACAUACGCGAUACACAGUGUGUGUCUGAGCGAAAGCAUUAAGUAAUCCACCUGGGAAGUACGUCCGCAAGGAUG